rnacentral:rRNA from 1 species
UACGUAGGGGGCAAGCGUUGUCCGGAUUUAUUGGGCGUAAAGAGCGUGUAGGCGGCCAGGUAGGUCAGCUGUGAAAACUCGAGGCUCAACCUCGAGACGCCGGUUGAAACCAUCUGGCUAGAGUCCGGAAGAGGAGAGUGGAAUUCCUGAUGUAGCGGUGAAAUGCGCAGAUAUCAGGAAGAACACCCGUGGCUAAGGCGGCUCUCUAGUACGGUACUGACGCUGAGACGCGAAAGCGUGGGGAGCGAACAGG